rnacentral:rRNA from 1 species
UGGGGAAUUUUGCGCAAUGGGGGAAACCCUGACGCAGCAACGCCGCGUGGGUGAUGAAGGCCUUCGGGUCGUAAAGCCCUGUCGGGAGGGAAGAAAUGAUUGAGAGCUAAUACCUCUUGGUCUUGACGGUACCUCCGAAGGAAGCACCGGCUAACUCCGUGCCAGCAGCCGCGGUAAUACGGAGGGUGCAAGCGUUGUUCGGAAUUAUUGGGCGUAAAGCGCGUGUAGGCGGUCUUUUAAGUCUGAUGUGAAAGCCCCGGGCUCAACCUGGGAAGUGCAUUGGAAACUGGGAGACUUGAGUACGGGAGAGGAGAGUGGAAUUCCUAGUGUAGGAGUGAAAUCCGUAGAUAUUAGGAGGAACACCGGUGGCGAAGGCGGCUCUCUGGACCGAUACUGACGCUGAGACGCGAAAGCGUGGGUAGCAAACAGGAUUAGAUACCCUGGUAGUCCACGCCGUAAACGAUGAGUACUAGGUGUUGCGGGUAUUGACCCCUGCAGUGCCGUAGCUAACGCAUUAAGUACUCCGCC